rnacentral:piRNA from 1 species
UUGAUCAUACCAGUGUUGAUU